GUACUGAAGAAGAGUCCCAAACUGGGACGAAACAGUUGUUCAGUAC
rnacentral:hammerhead_ribozyme from 1 species